UAAGUGUGAAGAACUGGAGUCCACUAACUGUUGAUUAUCCUGUAGCUGGUCUAUACACCAUUGGGGGUGUGACAGGCAAUAAUGUCCAGCAGAGCAGGUAACCUAACCACCAACCCUUCUCUAUAAGAGCUCUGAUGUUGCAGACUACCAAAGGACAGACAAGGCCCAUUGCAACGGUUAACUGCCUGGGGCCCUACACUCUGUCCCCAAUUCUGGCCACCAGGGUUCUGGAUCACAAUGUUCCACCGUGGGUCCUGACUACUGAGAACACUACCGGGCUAAACAUGUUCAAAGACAUAUGUCACUUAUCAUUCUACUGAUACCAAACAUGCACCUGUGU